rnacentral:rRNA from 1 species
GUAGGGGGCAAGCGUUGUCCGGAUUCAUUGGGCGUAAAGGGCGCGUAGGCGGCUUAGCAAGUCGGAUGUGAAAGCUCCAGGCUCAACCUGGAGAUGCCACCCGAUACUGCUAUGGCUAGAGUCCGGUAGGGGACCACGGAAUACCUGGUGUAGCGGUGAAAUGCGCAGAUAUCAGGUGGAACACCGGUGGCGAAGGCGGUGGUCUGGGCCGGAACUGACGCUGAGGCGCGAAAGCGUGGGUAGCGAACAGGAUUAGAUACCCUGGUAGUCCACGCCGUAAACGUUGGGCACUAGGUGUGGGGCCUUAUCAACGGGCUCCGUGCCGCAGCUAACGCAUUAAGUGCCCCGCCUGGGGAGUACGGUCGCAAGACUA